rnacentral:rRNA from 1 species
GACGAACGCUGGCGGCGCGCCUAACACAUGCAAGUCGAGCGAGAACCAGGGCUUCGGCCCUGGGGACAGCGGCGAACGGGUGAGUAACACGUGGAUAACCUGCCCUCGGCACCGGAAUAGCCCGGGGAAACCCGGAUUAAUGCCGGAUGGCCCCUCAGCCCCUCGGGGCGGUGGGGAAAGGUAGCUUCGGCCUCUGGCCGAGGAUGGGUCCGCGGCGGAUUAGCUAGUUGGCGGGGUAAUGGCCCACCAAGGCGACGAUCCGUAGCUGGUCUGAGAGGACGAUCAGCCACACUGGGACUGAGACACGGCCCAGACUCCUACGGGAGGCAGCGGUAGGGAAUCUUCCGCAAUGGACGAAAGUCUGACGGAGCAACGCCGCGUGAGUGAAGAAGGUUUUCGGAUCGUAAAACUCUGUUGUUAGGGAAGAACAAGUAUCGGAGUAACUGCCGGUACCUUGACGGUACCUGACCAGAAAGCCACGGCUAACUACGUGCCAGCCGCCGCCGUAACAC